GAAGAAAAUUUAUUUUAGACAUGAAAAUUACAAGCGCAGAACAAUUUGAAACUCUUAUAGCUGAGUUAGAAAAAAGCCCUUGCCUAGCAAAGGGUUUUCAAAAGGGAACAGCUCCAGCUAAUUUUAAACAGCAGUGGGAGGCAAUCAGCAGUAAAUUGAAUGCCCUUGAGCCCCCUUUAAGAGACAGCGAUGGUUGGCAGAAGGUGUGGCGAGAUUACAAAUUUAAAC